ncrna:unclassified sequences Transposase-1 RNA
CAUUCAGAGAUUGCCUCUGUCAUUACCUACUCUAGUAGAUAUGGGAAUGCAAUUGUUGA